CAAUUGGAGGGCAAGUCUGGUGCCAGCAGCCGCGGUAAUUCCAGCUCCAAUAGCGUAUAUUAAAAUUGUUGCAGUUAAAACGCUCGUAGUUGAAUUUCAAAGAAUCGAUAUUUUAAGCAACGCUUCUAGCUUAAUCCACAUAACUGAUACUUCGUAUCGACUUUGUGCGCAUUUUGCUAUUAUGUGUUCUUUUAAUUAAAAUGAUUCUUUUUAAGGACUUUCUUUGCUUCGGCUUGGAAGCCCUUGUUACUUUGAGUAAAUUAGAGUGUUCAAAGCAAACAGAUAUAGCAUUGCGCGUUUGAAUACUACAGCAUGGAAUAACAAAAUUGAACAAGUCAGAAUUUUGUUCUUUUUUCUUAUUUUGGCUUAGUUACGAUUAAUAGGAGUAGCUUGGGGGCACUUGUAUUCAGAUGUCAGAGGUGAAAUCCUUAGAUUUUCUGGAGACAAACAACUGCGAAAGCAUUUGCCUAAAAUACUUCCAUUAAUCAAGAACGAAAGUUAAGGGAGUGAAGAUGAUCAGAUACCGUCGUAAUCUU
rnacentral:rRNA from 1 species